AUUGACCGCUGGCGGCAGGCUUAACACAUGCAAGUCGAGCGAGCGGCGGACGGGUGAGUAAUGUCUGGGAAACUGCCUGAUGGCGGGGGAUAACUACUGGAAACGGUAGCUAAUAACGCAUACCAUCAGAUGUGCCCAGGUGGGAUUAGCUAGUAGGUGGGGUAAUGGCUCAAACAGGCGACGAUCCGUAGCUGGUCUGAGAGGAUGACCAGCCAACCGGGAACUGAGAAAUGGUCCAGUUGCCUACGGGAGGCAGCAGUGGGGAAUAUUGCACAAUGGGCGCAAGCCUGAUGCAGCUAUGCCGCGUGUGUGAAGAAGGCCUUCGGGUUGUAAAGCACUUUCAGCGAGGAGGCGUUACUCGCAGAAGAAGCACCUGCUAACUCCGUGCCAGCAGCCGCGGUAAUAC
rnacentral:rRNA from 1 species